rnacentral:rRNA from 1 species
CGUGAGGGAAAGGUGAAAAGCACCCCGGAAGGGGAGUGAAAGAGAUCCUGAAACCGUGUGCCUACAAGUAGUCAGAGCCCGUUAACGGGUGAUGGCGUGCCUUUUGUAGAAUGAACCGGCGAGUUACGAUCCCGUGCAAGGUUAAGCAGAAGAUGCGGAGCCGCAGCGAAAGCGAGUCUGAAUAGGGCGCAUGAGUACGUGGUCGUAGACCCGAAACCAGGUGAUCUACCCAUGUCCAGGGUGAAGUUCAGGUAACACUGAAUGGAGGCCCGAACCCACGCACGUUGAAAAGUGCGGGGAUGAGGUGUGGGUAGGGGUGAAAUGCCAAUCGAACCUGGAGAUAGCUGGUUCUCUCCGAAAUAGCUUUAGGGCUAGCCUCAAGGUAAGAGUCUUGGAGGUAGAGCACUGAUUGGACUAGGGGCCCCUACCGGGUUACCGAAUUCAGUCAAACUCCGAAUGCCAAUGACUUAUCCUUGGGAGUCAGACUGCGAGUGAUAAGAUCCGUAGUCGAAAGGGAAACAGCCCAGACCGCCAGCUAAGGUCCCAAAGUAUACGUUAAGUGGAAAAGGAU